UACAGAGGUCUCAAGCGUUGUUCGGAUUCAUUGGGCGUAAAGGGUGCGUAGGUGGCGCUGUAAGUCAGGUGUGAAAUUUCGGAGCUCAACUCCGAAACUGCAUUUGAUACUGCGGUGCUUGAGGACUGGAGAGGAGACUGGAAUUUACGGUGUAGCAGUGAAAUGCGUAGAGAUCGUAAGGAAGACCAGUGGCGAAGGCGGGUCUCUGGACAGUUCCUGACACUGAGGCACGAAGGCCAGGGGAGCAAACGGG
rnacentral:rRNA from 1 species